GCUCAUCUCUCCCCCAACCCUAUCGCUGCUCUCCUCCUUCCUCCCGCACAGGUUAGAAGGGGAAGAAAGCAGGGUCUAGGUGCUACACCGGCGCGGCGGCAGAGCGAAGCACAACCAUCUCACUUGAAGAAAUGGAGAGUGUUGAAGCUGCAAGUGGGAACUCCGGGAGAGCUGGGAUCAUUGUUUGGACCAAUGCCAUG